ensembl:lncRNA
AGAAAAGUAAUAUGAAGCAACACUAAUAACUAUGCUUACAGUUGCAAAUCUGAGCACAAUGUUCCCAGCUCCAGCUGUGUUGUAACCUUUUUUUUUUUUACCUCAUAUUUUGUUUAGCUGUGGAAUAAUGCAAGAGAAUUGCUUUAAUGUGAGAUGAUUUAUGAGCAAUUGCAUUACAGACGAUUUUUACGGUUGUCAGUCUCCAUGAAUUUAUGAAACUAUAAAGCCAUGUCAAAGAUGCAUUCCAAUUUUACUUUUUUUUGCACUAACCACAAAUUUGAACAGAAAGGUUUAGGGUCCUGAAGGAAAAUCUUAUUGCUCAAAUGUUGCUCAAGAGACAAACAGGAGUUCUCAGUUAAGCAUCAACUGUAUCUAAAACAGCAACAUAUGAAACAAUUAUUGACAUAUUACAAGAUUACAGAUAAAUAAAAAGAUUUAUAUAUUUGAUUUAACAAUAAAAACUUCUGAAAUCUUGCAGACUUUGCUUUUUUGUACACAGUUUGAGACAUUGUUGAGAUCAUGUGUGAUUAUUCUUUUUGACAAAAUUGAAUUUAAUUUAAAUCCCAUUUAUGAUUUGUGUGAUGUGUUGAGCAAAAUUACAUAUUCCAAUAAUUUUACAACAUAAAUUUAAGCCUGUUCCUCACAAAACUAUGCUGGAACUUUCACAGAGAAAUUGCUUGUAAAUUUCACAAAUAAUUACAAAGCAAAUGCAAUUAACACAUUCAAUUAAAACAUGACAUUUUGUAUUAGAAAGACUGAAGUAGUAUUUUCUUGUUAAGUAUUAAUAAACUUAAACUUUGUAAUAUACUCAACUUUGAAUAUUUCAUGUUUCAGAAGAAUAGUAAGCUGGUUUUCUGUUUUGUUUUGAUUUGUUUUGUUUUGUUUUGUUUUUGUUUUUUGGACACUGUGAAACUUUAUAGGUCACAGGUUUAAGAGCCACGUGAACAUUUUUCAAAAAUUCUCAUUUUGUGUUUUUUUUUUUAAACCAUAACAGAAUGCUAUUUUUGAGUAAACUAUUUCUUUCUAUUUCUGACCUACCCUUUGUAACUCUUCUGAUUUUGAACAGAAAUCACUUGUCAUUUGAGUUGUUCACACAUGCUUUUGGAUAUAAGAGACACAAACUGGGCCCCAAAACAUCUCACUCAUGACCUCCACACGUGAUCCUUUGUUUCACUGCUGUUUUUCUGCCUUUGAGUGGCCCUCACUAGCCUCACCGAAGGUUUUUCUGAUGGUCUGUCCUGGGCAUUAAUGACUGCUAAUGAACAAGGGGGGGCAAGGCCAAAGCAAAGUGGUAGGAAAUGAUCUGAGAAAUUACAGUUCCUGUCUCUCAGUGCCUCCAUUACCAGCAUGAACGUGCACCCUCUGCACUCUGUGAACAGGGAAACAACACUGAUCCUCCCCCAUCAAGCCCACUCAUCCUGAACACAUAACAGACCAGACCCUUUCACUCAACCCUUAGUCUAACCUUAUCAUGUGAGCGAGCUGAGAUUAGAGGACUUGGCCCCUCGUUCAAAGCAGAAAAACAACAUUGCCUCACUGGCCACGAGUCAAGGGUGCUAGUUUAAAUUAGAGCGCAGCCUUUCACACUUGACAUUUAGUGUGGCACAGUCUAUCUUCACCUUAUUUCCACCUCGCCCCCUCCUGAAAGUCCACACCCCCUUGAGUCUUAUUAACACACACAGACUCUGCUCAGUUUGAACUGGAUUACUCAUUAGACUGCUUAAAUCAGCAUGACUUCAGUAAUGGUUUUAUGUCCUCUGAGAGCCUCUUUUAGCUUCUCUGGGAUCAAAGCAGAACGGACUGCCUAACAGAGACAAACCAGAAGAGCAGAUCGUAGAAUCUGAAGGAAACUCCCCACUGUUUACCCCUGACGAGCUCAGCCAGUCUUCAACAUCAUCCCUUCAUACCGUUCAUUAUAGCCUCAGCCCACUCCGCUUUCACAGAGACGCUCCAGCAUCCAGCAGUGUGUGUGUGUGUGUGUGUGUGUGUGUGUGUGUGUGUGCUGGAGGAAACUGGCAGUAAUCCUGUAAAAAGUUCCUCAACUAUGAGCCUUGCUGUAAUCGAGUGCGGUCGUUAGAUGAGGGGCUCAUAAAGGAGAACAUGAGCUUUACUCAUCGCUGUUUUUCCUGCCAGUCCCACCCUUUUGUCUGCUGGAUGCCAAGCAUUGCUGCUCUCUGCUACUCUGCGUUUCUCACUCUGAAGGUUAAAGGUAGAAAUUUAAACAAAGCCCUAACCUUAAGUAAUAAACUUUGGUGUGCAACUCAUCCUGCACCAUUUAUGCAACAGAUAUAUGAUACAAUAUCUAUACGCUUGUUGACGAAAAGUGUGCUAUUAGGUUCUAAGUGAUGAAAUGUACAAUUUGUGUCUGGCAUAUGAUAAAACUUGUGAAGAAAUCCAAUUGAAUUAUGUUGAAGAAGAGACCCAAGCCAUAUCUUGAGACCAGCACUUGGACCAGUAAGCAACCAUCAAUUAUUGCCUUAUAAACCACUCAGAACUUCAUAACACCCUGGGAACCAACCAAAACACCUUAAAACCUUCAGAAAGCUGAAAAUCUAGUUGGUUUUACUGUAGUACACUUGUAGUCCAGAGUAUGACGAAAAACUAGCAGGAGCCUGAAGCCUAAUCAUGUGUGUAAUGUGUAACCUGAGCACUUUUGCCUUCACAAACUCGUCUUAUCUGUGCUUUUAUGUAGUCAUUGUGCCGAUCUUAAUCCUGCGCACAAAGAGUAAUAAGAGCUCUGGACAUAGAGUAACAUCAUAUCCUGUUGUGUUAGAAGAAUACACUGACAGAGGAUUUGUUACACGCUCUGCCUCAGAGCUCAGUUCAUCACCUGAAUACAGUGCAGUGGAUCACAAAAGAGUCAGUGUAUGGGGAUUUCACAAAUAUCACAAAGCUUGCUUGCCCGUGCACAGGGCGUCCAUGAGGGUGUUGCCAUAGGAUGGUUGCCAAGGUGUUGCUAUGCAGUUGCUAGAAUGUUCUGGGUGGAUUCUAGUUGCUUGCUUACUGGCCGAGUGAAAAAAAAGAAACAUAAAAACACACCCAAGUGUCUAUGAUAUUCUUUUUUAUAUGGCUAGAUAUGGGGAUUUUUUUUAACCCAUUUUAUCAUCUUAAAAAAUCAGACAGGUUAGAAAAGUAAUAAUGCACCUUUCCUCAAUAAGCCGUAAAAUGUGACGUGUCAUUCUAAUAUGAGUUUUUAGCAUUAAAUAUCACCACAUUUCAAAAGUGGGUCAAUAAAUGGGACAAAAAGUUUAAAAUGCAUGUGCCAGUAUGUUUAUUUUCAAGUAGGUUUUGUAUGGUUUUAAAAACAAAAACCUCUGUGUAAUUUUCUGCAGCAAAAAAUAAAAUAAAUAAAUAUAUAAAAUAAAAAUAAAUAAAUAAAAAACUCAUGUGGUAAUCAUGAAGUAAAAAUAAAAAUAUAUAUUUUUAAAACUUUAUUUAUUAAAUUUAUCUGUUUAUUCAUUGUUUGGUUUUGUCAUUUUAAAAAGGUUUAAAAAAUACAAUGAAUUAUUAAUUCAUAAAUAUCUUUAAGUUUUUGGAGGGAUCAAAAUACUUAAUUAUCUGAAAUUGUAUCUGAGAGUUUCUUGACCUUAACACAGUCACAGGUAUCUUUUAAAUGUUUUUUUUUUCUUUUCUUUUUUUAUGUUUGUGCAUGUUGGUUGGACCUCAGGUUUUCCGAAUAUUUAUAAUAUUUCAAAUAAACUGCUUUAAUCAUAAAAUAUUAUGCCAAACUACAUAAGAUUUUCUUUUCAGUGAUUUUAUUCUAUUUAAUUUUUAUUUUUCUAUAUAAUGAGUUAUAGGUUAAAGGCAGUUCUAUCACCCUGAUGUUUAUUUAUGUUAUGCCCUCCAAAAAUAUCGAAGUGAAUUUUGAUUCAGAAAUUUAAACUUUUUUGAUAACACAAGAGCUGUAUUCAAAUAUAUAUAUAAAUUGCAUUUUGUAUGUAGUCUAUUUUUAAAUAAACUAAUAGUGCCAAUCGGAAAAAAAAUUGUGUGUCAAAAAAAAAUAAAAAAUGUACACAUACACUUCUGGCUUUGCAAGCUCAGAUUUAUGCAUUGUUGCAUUAUGAAAUGAUCCAAUGCAAUUCAUAGUUCAAGGCAUUGUUAAAAUGUGCUCUUUAGCAUUCAUUAGAGUGAAUGUCUAUGGUGUGUAAUUUCAUUUAGGUCAACUACCUUAGUUGGUCUAAGCUAGGUCUAACUGAUUUAGUUAGAGGUAGUUAAGAUAGCUAAAUAAUAUGAACACAUUUGAAGGAAACUCUAUCGCCCCCUUGAGUACUGGAAUGUGUUACCACCACAGUGUUAAAAGGUUCAUUUAAAUAUUAUUUUAAUAGAACAUAAGAGCUACAUGACUUCUUACAUUUAUAUUAGAAGCUAACACAAAACUGGUACUUACCACUCCUUGACAAGUCACAUUAAAAUUCAAAAGCUGAUUUAAUUAAAAAGAAAUCCACAAUGAAUAAGGAAAACCUUGACCUAGUGACUUAAUCAGAUCAGAGAAUGGAGAAUGGGGCGCCUGACGCCUCCGUGUCGUCCUCUAAAUUGGGCUUUAUGAGUUUGUAUUGUGCUGUUUGUGCAUUAAGCUCACCCCACAACAAUUCAAUGAGCGAUUUGUUGCUGUGUCCUAUGGGACACAAUACGUCUCAUUCACCACCGGCUCCCUGUGUGGGAAGUUCUGGCCUCUCUCUCUCUCUCUCUCAUCUAUCUCUCUCUCUCUCUCUCUAUCUAUCUAUCUAUCUAACUGUCCUGAGCGAGUACCAGGCAAAUUCUUCCUUUCUUUCUUUAUACCAGUUGCAUCAAACCUUCAUUGUUAUUUCAGUUACAUUUCUGUACAAGAUCACACAUGCGGAUUUAAUCACCAUUGUUUAGAAAGUCAAAGUUUGAUGAGUAAACUCCAGUGUCAAUGAUUAUGAACAAAGUCAGAUUAUGGUUGUUUGUUUGCCACUGGAAUAAAUCUCAUUCUAAUAAACCAAUAUGCACACUUCAUAUCUCCAAAGUGCAAUGAAACGUGCACUCCUUUAAAUCGAUGACUUCAAACAUCUGGUAUUCCCAUCCUGUCACUGCCACAGACGGAGGGCAGACCAUUGGGUGUCUUCUAGAAAGAGCUGCACCCAACGCCAGACCAUGUAAGGCCAGCCAACGUGCCCAAAAAUAAAUAUCAAAGAUCACUGGGAGAGGGUGGGAGAAAUGGAUGUAGAAGGAGAGAAAGAAACAGAGCUUCGCAGAUGUUUUUAACUUGUCAGGAACGCCACUGCCGCCGCUCGGCCAUGGAUGCGGUCCAUAUGUGCUUCUGGCUGUAUGUGGAGGAUCACAGAGCAUUUCUGUCUGUCUGUGUGCAGCAAAACCCCAGUGUACAGUAGUUAAAGAGACUGCCCCACUCUACCACCACUUUCCUCUUCUGCUUUGAUAGGCCAUGUGGGCCGCCUCCUUCAAAGGAGUUAGUCCGAACCUUCCUGCAAUUGUAACACUUGGCACAUUAAAAUAACAAAGUCCAGAUGUCUGAUUAAUGGGCCCUUUAAUAUAAUCCCAUUUUGUUGCUUUGCAGCCUGAAAUGAAGAUGGAAACAGCAAAAGGUUCAACAAAAUACUGAUGCAAAGGGGUGAUCCUUUUACCAACUUAGUGAUUCUAUUUUUUUUUUUUUUAUAUAUAUUAUUUUUUUUUUUCUGACACGUUGGUGUUAUAUCUUUUACUUGGAUGUUAUCAGUUGCAUUGAGUUAAUACAGCUGGAUAAAACAAAAACCGUGCCUGUCUUCGUUUCAGACUGCAUAGCAACAAAAUGGGAUUAUUUUAAAGGGGGUGGGGGGGUUCUUUACCACUCUAUAUUGUAUCACAGUAGAGCAUUUUUAAAUUAAAGCUAUGUUUCUGUUUCUGCUCUUCUUCAUUCUGUUCUGCUCUUCAUUCUUUGCAGGUGGAGUGAUUGUGUAUCUUUUGAGUAAGAAAUGCUUCAUUUCUGCUGGUUUAUUUAAGCACUGUCUCACUUCCUUAUUGUAUUACACAAGCUAUGUCCCCUCAGUCAGGCUGAGGAAAAAUAGGGGCCAGGUCAGGGUGUUGUUGAAAGCAUUAUCACAGUCUUUUGAGUUCUCAUUCACUGUAUGUGAAUGCAUGACAUACCCUCCUUCCACGUGGGACAAUAAAACGAGUGCCUGAAAUAAACGAGAACUCAUGCGGCCAUCUAGUGUUGAGUAUUGGAAUUACUUCAACCUUUGCAGGAUGUAGCCUACAAAAAAAUCAGUGUUCAUCGAAAACUAUCAAUAUCUCUCAGAAUUAAUGUAAAACGUUUUUAUUCACAGUAUCUAUAAACUUUCUUAGAUUAGAGAGAAUUUAAAUGAAGUUGUCAUAAUUUAACUGUUUGUUUGUUUAUUUAUCCCUCUCCAGAAAGCUAAAAAUGGGUGUUUUUGUGACACAAAUGAUUUGUCACAUUAUAUGAUCAACGCAAUGAUUGUGUAUUAAUGUCUGUAUGUAUUGUGUUUAUAAUGCAUUUUAAAUUAAAAAUAAACCAAAGUGUCUGACUUUUUAGAAGAUUCUAUAUGACGACACUGAACCACCAGCAGCGUUCUAAUUCAAAACAGAUCAAGAUCGCACGGUAUAGGAUUUCUCCUACUAUUACAGUUUUUGAACUAUUGUUCCAUCGUUUUUAAGUUGAGUGUUUCUAUUUCUCGCUAAAUCUCCACAUAACAACUGGAUAACAACAACUGGAUUUGAAGAUGAACCUCAACAGGAACCAAAGCAGACAAAUUUGAAGUUAAGCUAUUCAGAUCUGUGUUUUGAAUCUUUGAUAUUUGACUGUGACUGUGAAAGAUUGACAAAACACUUGUUUUAGUGCAGUUCACUUGAAUAAGUAGUGGGUAAAAUUAUGAUAAAUAUAAAGUUUUAAUAAUAAAAAAAGCAGUGCUUUAUCGAUUGUUACAUUGUCAUACAGUAUGAACAUAUGAUAUUCUAACAGAAAACUCAAAAGCUCCAGAGGCAGAUCCUGUAUUGUCAUUCCAGAUUAAAAUACAGGUAAGUACCGUUUAUCAGGCAUCUCUACUGUACUGUACAAAAUGUGGUUACAAAAAAUAGCUUUGAAAAAUAAAAGCUAAAAACACAGGUGAGUGAUAUUUUAAAGCAUUUCUAUUAUCUUUUUUUUUUUCAAUCUAUAGUUUGAUCUGAUACUGUUUAUCAUUUUUCUUUCAAUAGAAAGAAUAGUGAAGUUCACUGCCUGAAUGUUGAAAUCUGAGGAGACAAAUAGACUGUCCGUUGAGGUAAAAUCUAAAGUCUGGUAAAUGCCAGAUUAAGAAAAACACAGGUGAGUUAUAUUAUUAAAGAAUUUCUGCUCUCUAUUGUACAAGCUGUUUUCAGGGUUCUCCUCUGGCAGUUCUGUCUGUGUUGUCUUUGUUCAGUGUGUUCUUGUUAGUGUUGUGUCUGACCACAUGGCUCUGUCUCUGUUUGUGUUUGCCAUGUGCUCCUCUUGUCCUGCCUCCUUGUUUCCCUUACCACGUCCCCUUGUUUAGUCCUUGUUGAGUGCUCUUUUAUCUGAGUGUUGUCAUAUGUUCUUCACGUCUCAGAUCCCUUUAUAUUGUGCUCCUUUUGCCUUUUGUGUUGCCAGUUCAUCUAACUAAAUACUGUGCAACUGUGUUCUUCCUUGUUGCAAUAGUCUGUAGUGUAUUGUUAAGCUAGUUCUACCUGUUUAUUCUAAUGUUGUUUUGUUCCUAUGUAUCCUUGCUCUAGUUAAGUAUCCCUUAGUGUUAUCUGCUUUAUCUUUAGUAUUUAGUUUCCCUUUUUCUUUCCUUAGUCAUUUGCCUUUAGACUUUCCCUUUUAACUAGUUCCUUUAGCUUUUCCCUGGCUUUAGUUUUAUGUUUUAAUUUAUGUUUUUUUAGUUAUUGUUUGGUUUUGGUUACCGCCUUCUGUCUUGUUGUGUCUUGUCCUGUGCGGUGGUGUGUCUUGUUUGUCUUUAGUCCUGUCCUGUGCUGCAGGCUGAGCUCCCGGGCUGCUCCCUGAAUCUGUAGCAGCAAGACCUGUGCCUGUGAGACCACGAGUGUGGAGUGGCUUGUGCUUCGAGUUCCUGUCAGGCCAUCGCUGCUAACCUCCGGCCUCCCUCUGCACUGCCACUACUGUUAUCCAGGGCUGGACUCAGCGGCUUCUCUCUCAGCAUAUCUGUCUUCGAGCCUCUUCCCAUCUUAUUGUUUGGACUGUAUUCACACCCUCCACACCUUCUCUUGUCGUGUCUUGUCAGCAGUAUUGUCAGUAAACCCGUGAUUACUCAUUCUGCAUUUAAAUCCUCUCUCACAGAAUCCCUGACACCUGUAGUUGGUAUUUAAAUCUUUCUGUCAUUCAUUACAAUAGGGACGUUCAGUCUGUGCAUUGAGGUAAAAUAAAACUCUGGUUAGAGUCAGAAUAAAAAUAAAAAAAGCACAGGGAUGGCAACUGCUUGGAUGUUGUGAGAGGAAAUUGGCUUCAGACGAUGGUAGUCUUGAAGUGUGAGGAACUACCCGAUCACCCUAACCAUCCAUUGUAUUAUCCACCAGCAAACCUUCUCUUUGAAAUGCUGUAAAUCAACCCUGAUCCUUCCAAAUCGUUUGACUGUAACAGGAAUGACUGGGAGAAGUCUGGGUCAAGCAGGAUGCAGCACCUUUCUCACGGUUAUGCUCCACUAAACCUCAUCGGACUAUCCUUUCUUGUCAGAUCUGUGAGAGGACAGGCUAAAAAUUGGCAUCCAGCCAACCUGAGGAAUACUCAUAAGUUUUGUUGUGCACCCUGGUUUGUUUGAUACCAGAAUUUGGUUCCGCUGAAUGAUGUGAACGCUGUUUUCUGAACUCAGGUGCGCAUAUGCAAAAUGUUCCUUGUUCCUGGAAUAGUCUACAUUAUGUUUUUUUCAGACCAACUGAAUCAUCAGUCCGAUUAAUAAUUUGAUUAUUAGGUUGAAUUUUAAAUGUAGACAGUGACAGGCCAAAUGCAUGAAGCUGGAAUUGAAAUGCCUUAUCUUUGAAGACGAAUUUCAGUGACAGUAUCUGUCUUUCAGAUUCUCUGUUACAAACCUCUAAAAGAAAUCACACUGUUUAUAGUUGUUUAUACAGUAAAAAAAAAAGCCAGUGAACAGAAUUUUUACAGAAUGUUUGUAUUAUGUAAUCACAUUUCUCUGUCACCUUAUUUCUAAAUGUGGUGUCAUGUUUUUCACCAUACAAGUUAAAUUUUUAGGUGACACUUUUGUACCAAUCAAAACAGGCCUGUAAAACUGUGCUGAAGGUUUCCGCUGGUAUUUUUUUAACAUUGAAGUCAUCAUCUGAAAGGUUUCCAUAGUUCUGUGGCAAGCCUGAUUAUUGUAUAAUUGUCACACACAUGGACAGUUUUGUUCCUGUUCCGCAUGUCAAUUUGGAUUCCCUUUGUUUUUUUGUUAUUAAAAGUCUGUUUUUGAGCAA